AAGAGUUGCAAAGCAACCAAACUACUUUGUCAUUUGCUUCCCACCCUCUUCCUUCUGCUCAGCAUCCCCAAUCCCUGUGAAAGUGUACCUAACCACAUUAGUAAUGACAAAACCAACAAUAAAUAGAAACUCCUUCACAUACAACCCUGUGAAAUUAUAUAAAGCAAGGCAAAGCUUUAGAGGACAAAAAACAAGGCCAGAAUAAAAAGCAGAUGGGAAUGCAGUUAAUGGAUUCGUAUGUUUCUGAUAUGGAAAGGCAGUCGUGCUGAAUUUUUGAUCAAGCAUAUCUGCACUUUCAAUAGAAGCCAGAUUUAGGCUGUGAACCGUGAGGCAAUGUGUCAUAAAAAAACAUAUUUUACUUAGGUAGUUCCCAAAGGUUAUUUACCUUGAACAAUCAGUGCUGAUCACUGAUCAUUCUCUGCAGUUGCUUCUGCACCGCUAACAUUAUUGCCUGAAAGAAAUAUUUGUAACAACAUAUCUGAGUUUUAAUUUCCUUUAAGGAGACAAUAAAUCACGUCACAGGUUUCUGAAUUCAUAUGCAUAGGAAAGGAGUUACUUUUCUGGGACAGGAUUAUUUUCUAUUUCUUUCCCUACACAUGCAAUUCUAUGCAGUUCCAGUAAUGAGUGUGGAGCUGAAAACCAGUGCUUGUUGCCAUACUUAAUAUACUUAAUCUUGUACUUACUUCUAUAUUCUUCCAGAGGCAUGUCAGCACGAGGACAUUAUGAGGACAUUUGAUUACCCCAGCUUCCACUCUUCUCCAAAAAGGGCCAAAUGUGAAGUCAGCGGAGAAGCUUUGAACAUACAGUGGUGGAGCUGAAGGCAGGAUUUGGCCCUUGAAGCUGUGGAUUACUAGGUUUGGAAGAGAAUUCUGGUCCCUCCAUUGCAGCUUGGCUCUGACAAAAUAUGACUUCUGGACCUCAUCCCAACAAGACGGGAAUUAUUUCAAAUAACAAUUUUGUUUGCAUAGCUUAGGAUUUCACUAAGUUAUAAAUACAUCUUUUAAAUUAAAUUUCCCUUGGAAAACAAUGAUUAAAUGAAUGAAUUACUCGUUAAA